UACUCGAGUGGCGAACGGGUGAGUAACACGUGGGUGAUCUGCCCUGCACUUCGGGAUAAGCCUGGGAAACUGGGUCUAAUACCGGAUAGGAACCGUCUUUAGUGUGGUGGUUGGAAAGUUUUUUCGGUGCAAGAUGAGCUCGCGGCCUAUCAGCUUGUUGGUGGGGUAAUGGCCUACCAAGGCGUCGACGGGUAGCCGGCCUGAGAGGGUGUACGGCCACAUUGGGACUGAGAUACGGCACAG
rnacentral:rRNA from 1 species